rnacentral:rRNA from 1 species
AUGUGCUGCUUCUAAUCGUCACCUGGGACAAUUAUUGACCAUCCGACCUCAAAUCAGGU